CCUACGGGUGGCAGCAGUAGGGAAUCUUCCACAAUGGGCGCAAGCCUGAUGGAGCAAUGCCGCGUGUGUGAAGAAGGUCUUCGGAUCGUAAACCACUGUUGUUGGAGACGAAAAUGCGUGAGAGUAUCUGUUCACGCGUCGACGGUAUCUAACCAAUAAGCCCCGGCUAACUACGUGCCAGCAGCCGCGGUAAUACGUAGGUGGCGAGCGUUAUUCGGAUUUAUUGGGCGUAAAGGGAGCGCAGGCGGUUUUUUAAGUCGGAUGUGAAAGCCCUCGGCUUAACCGGGGAAGGCCAUUGGUAACUGGAAGACUUGAGUGCAUCAGAGGAGAGUGGAAUUCCAAGUGUAGCAGUGAAAUGCGUAGAUAUAUGGAAGAACACCAGUGGCGAAGGCGGCUCCCUGGUCCGUAACUGACGCUGAGGUUCGAAAGCGUGGGUAGCAAACAGGAUUAGAUACCCCUGUAGUC
rnacentral:rRNA from 1 species